rnacentral:sRNA from 13 species
GGCGCUGGUUGUGGCACUCCAGCAAGGCUGGGCGGGGUUCGAGUCCCCGAGGCGCC